GGGGAUGUAGUUUAGUUGGUAGAAUGCUCGCCUAGUAUGCAGGAGGCCCUGGGUUUGACCCCCAGCAUUGCAU
rnacentral:tRNA from 1 species